rnacentral:rRNA from 1 species
UGCGUAGGUGGUUUCUUAAGUCAGGAGUGAAAGGCUACGGCUCAACCGUAGUAAGCUCUUGAAACUGGGAAACUUGAGUGCAGGAGAGGAAAGUGGAAUUCCUAGUGUAGCGGUGAAAUGCGUAGAUAUUAGGAGGAACACCAGUAGCGAAGGCGGCUUUCUGGACUGUAACUGACACUGAGGCACGAAAGCGUGGAGAAGCAAACA